rnacentral:rRNA from 1 species
GAUGAACGCUAGCUACAGGCUUAACACAUGCAAGUCGAGGGGUAACGAGAGGAAAGCUUGCUUUCCUUGUUGGCGACCGGCGCACGGGUGAGUAACGCGUAUCCAACCUGCCCCCAACUAGGGAAUAACCUUGCGAAAGUAAGACUAAUACCCUAUAAUUUCCUCAGAUGUCAUCUGACGAGGAAUAAAGAUUUAUCGGUUGUGGAUGGGGAUGCGUCUGAUUAGCUUGUUGGCGGGGUAACGGCCCACCAAGGCAACGAUCAGUAGGGGUUCUGAGAGGAAGGUCCCCCACAUUGGAACUGAGACACGGUCCAAACUCCUACGGGAGGCAGCAGUGAGGAAUAUUGGUCAAUGGGCGGAAGCCUGAACCAGCCAAGUAGCGUGCAGGAUGACGGCCCUAUAGGUUGUAAACUGCUUUUAUACAGGAAUAAAGUUAGCCACGUGUGGUUAUUUGUAGGUACUGUAUGAAUAAGGACCGGCUAAUUCCGUGCCAGCCGCCGCUGUAACAC